CACCACACCCAGCACAUUUUGUGUUUUUUUAAGCAGAGAUGGGAUUUCACUAUAUGUUAGCUAGGCUGGUAUUGAACUCCUGACCUCAGGCGAUCUGCCCGCCUCAGCCCCCUAAAGUGCUGGGAUUACGGGUGUGAGCUACCACAGUCACCACAGUCACUUUUAGAAUAUUUUCAUCACCUCAAAAAAAUACACUUAAAGCUAUUGCUCUCCUGUCUCCGUGGCCCCUACUCCCCCUGCAUUCCUAAGCAACCUCUAAUCUACUUCCUGUCUCUAUAGAUUUCCCUGUUCUAGACAUUUCACACUAAUGGAUUCAUACAAUAUGUGAUUUUUCAUGACUGACUUCUUUCACUUAGGAUACUGUUUUCAAGGUUCAGCCAUG
rnacentral:lncRNA from 1 species